GGUGGCGUCUUCGACGCUCAUGAGCCAUUUCCUUUGAGAACAAUGACCUCCACCGCGGGUCCAUCUCCCUCUACUUCGUGUUAAUAAAUUGUCGAAAAAAAGGAUCUUGACUUCACUAUAUUCUCCUCUUCCUACUGGCUACGAUCUCUCCAGUCUUCUCAAGUGAAUAAGAAGUCUGAUGAUGCAUGCUCGAAAUAGUCCAAGUUACAAUCAAGGAUUUCCAGUCUAUUUGAGAAGUUAAAGCAUGAUUUUGGUUGAAGCUGUCAGGAGAUUCCAGCCGCUAGUCCCCACUUCGAGUCGUGACGAUUUUCUAUUUUUGGACUUUUAGUUUCUUUGUUAUGUUCCUACAUACUUGUGAUGUGUGGUUGUACUCGAGGAUUUUUAUAUCGUGUUUUGGUCUACUACCUUUGAUUUUUCGCUGUGAAGGUUUUGCGUUGUGUUGUGUUUUCUGUGUUAUAAACUGCGUGGUUG